rnacentral:rRNA from 1 species
CCUACGGGAGGCAGCAGUGAGGAAUAUUGGUCAAUGGACGAGAGUCUGAACCAGCCAAGUAGCGUGAAGGAUGACUGCCCUAUGGGUUGUAAACUUCUUUUAUAUGGGAAUAAAAUGUUCCACGUGUGGGAUUUUGUAUGUACCAUAUGAAUAAGGAUAGGCUAACUCCGUGCCAGCAGCCGCGGUAAUACGGAGGAUCCGAGCGUUAUCCGGAUUUAUUGGGUUUAAAGGGAGCGUAGGUGGAUUGUUAAGUCAGUUGUGAAAGUUUGCGGCUCAACCGUAAAAUUGCAGUUGAAACUGGCAGUCUUGAGUACAGUAGAGGUGGGCGGAAUGCGUGGUGUAGCGGUGAAAUGCUUAGAUAUCACGAAGAACUCCGAUUGCGAAGGCAGUUCACUGGACUGCAACUGACACUGAGGCUCGAAAGUGUGGGUAUCAAACAGGAUUAGAUACCCCUGUAGUC